GGUUUUGUUUGCGCGCAGCAUCACUAUUGCGGCUUCGCAGUGCUCACUGCCUCUGUAGAAAUUUAGGCGUCAGCUACUUUGGAUUCAAUCAAGCAGGACACGCGUGACGCCUAUCUUUUCCUCAGCCAGCUUUCUAAUUAGGGUCCAAUCGUGGCUGCCUGGGAGAGAGAACCUUCAUUGUGCUUCGGGAAGGUCAGAUGUGACGUCACCUCGGCAGAGGUGGCGCUUUGGUGGCAGAGUUGGUGGAGGGGAUUAGUUGGCUGUCAUCUUAUCAUGUGUUCAGACGGGCAACUGGGAGAAACGUGGACCUUCAUCUCCCCAACACAGUCGUUUUGCUGCUCUUCGGACGACGCGGCGAACUAGCAUAACAGUCUGGCGGCUGGU